GACAGAGGUCCCGAGCGUUAGGCGGAAUCACUGGGCUUAAAGCGUGUGUAGGCGGAUCGUUAAGUACCUUGUGAAAUCCCACGGCUCAACCGUGGAACUGCUGGGUAUACUGGCGAUCUUGAGCCACCUAGGGGCGAGCGGAACAAGCGGUGGAGCGGUGAAAUGCGUAGAUAUCGCUUGGAACGCCAAUGGUGAAAACAGCUCGCUGGGGGUGUGCUGACGCUGAGACACGAAAGCCAGGGGAGCGAACGGG
rnacentral:rRNA from 1 species